AUGGCCAACAAUGAAUUCUUAGGCACUUAUGAGUAUGUCAUCAAGAGCGUGCAAGGGGCAAAUGACGAGCUAAAGAUGGAGAUUAAAGAGCUAUGCAAGGAGACUAUUCGGCUCGUUAAGGAGACUAAUCGGCUUAUGGAUGACAGGGAUAAACUGGUCGAGGAUCGGGAUAAACUGAAGGAGGAGAGGAGACUCCACAGGGCUGAGAGGAUUGACCUAAAGAUGGACAUAGAUCAUUUCAGAAGAGAAGGAGAUGGGGAUAGAAAGAAGCUUCGCCAGCUGGGCAUACUCCUUGAUGAAGAUUAG
rnacentral:rRNA from 1 species